GGGGCAAAGGGUGGGCAAGGGGCCUGUUUGAGGAAGUGAAGUUUAAGCCAAAACCUACAUGAAGUGAUGGAGUGAACAGGAAGCCAAGAAGUGUUCCAGAUGGAAGGCACCACACAAAGUCUCCGAAGCAGAAACGUGUUCGGUGUGUCUGAGGAGCAGCCAGGAGCCGAGGUGGCUGCUGAGCAUGAUCCUGGUCUUCCAGACGGGUACUCAUCACACCUCUAAGAAUGGCCUCUUCCUACAACCGGCCCCCAGUCGAUCACGAGCAUAGAGAGGGCAGAAUUGCAUGCUGUGCAUUGCACUUCUAGGGCCAAACGCACUGUUACAUUUCAGUAUGAGAGUAAGAGAGAGAGAGACUGAGCAUUGCUCCACCUCAAGCACAGGCCUGGACUUUGUCUGUCCCGUGGCAGCCAUGCAGACAUGGCUCCCACAGCCAGCAGCUGGUGUGGGUCCUCUGAGAGCCGUGCCAGGCACACUGUGAAGACUGGAAGCCAAGCAGAGGGCGGGGACUCAAUUCCCUGGAAUCCUCCCGAAUAACUCAUGGUCAGCGGCUCCCACCUUCCAGGGCAACAGGUGGAUAAAGGAAAGACACAGAUCUUCGUGAGUGAGACGGAACCAGGGUGGGGAAAGGCUGGGAAGUAGUUCAGCUUGGGUCAGGGCACAGGCCUGAAGUUCACGGCUUGGCUUGAGGCCAUGCAGGCGGUGCUCUGCUAUGUUCUAUCUGCACGACUUUGAACCUUCACACAGCCUCUGUCCCCUAAAGCAGGGUAGGGAUAACAUUCUAAUUGCAGGGCUGUUGGGAAAAAUCAAGGGUGUUAAUAACUGUGAACAGUUGACAACAAGGCCUGGCAUGUAGGGUGGCCUUAAGAUGCUGCCUUUAUGUUUUCACUUUUCUGUCUCCUGCCAAGUUCUUUCUUAUUCCUCCCUAACAGAAUGGUUUGAGGGCUGGUGGUUACAAAUGCCUCUUUCUCUUCUGCCUUUGAUUUUGGUUCCUGUCAAGAUCUGAAUCAGAGACGUGUGCCCUGAAGACACGGCAGAGAUCGGGGUACUCCUGACCCUGCACAAGGUGGGUGCUGUCCCCGGUCUCCAGAAGACUUGGGGGCUCAAGGAGGCCAGGUAUCCACCAGUCAUCACCAGAGUAAGCGGGGGCGUCGGGAUUUGAGCCCAAGUUAGCUUGUUCCAGUUCUAUGGUUUCCCAUCCCACGUGCUGCUGCCGUGGGGUCUGUGAUGUGAUGGAGCAUCUCUGAGCCCAGAGCGGGGGAGUUUUGUGACAAGCUCUUCUAGGAUAGGGGAGAAGGCUGUUCCUGGCCUUGUCCUGUAUGUGCGUAAAAGAAGGAAAAGAAAAGCAAGUGAAUGAACUAUUUGCUCUCAAGGCUGACAAUAGACCCUGGGGGUGAAGGAUAGGAAACAUUAAUGACUUAAAGCAGGACUAUUCAUAGCAUCUCCAUGCCUGCUGUUCUUACUUCUCUUUAUGAUGAACAAAAAUCAAGAGAAGCCCUAUGCCUCUAUUCUUCCAGUGCCUGCUGGCUUUCAGGAAUGGGUAUCCCAUGUCUUAGGGCCUUUGUCUAUUCAAGGUUAUUACCAAGAGCUUCUAGAGGUAGAGCCAAGGGGGAGGAGGUGAUGGUGAGCAGGAAGAGGACAGAGCCACUGGGGUGAGGACUUGGCCUUGGGGGUAAAGAAGCUACUGCAGGUCCCAGAUACUCAGGUGGCAGUGAGCAGCCUCUUAGCCAACCCCUCUGGGUUGCCAGGUGGGGAAGCAGCCUGAGGUGCAGCCACUCACUCACUCAACUGGAGUACCCCGGGUCUUUGCAUCUGCUGUCAGCUCCAACACGCUGUUUGGGAAAAGGGACAAAUACAGAAAGGAGGACAAGAUCAGAUCCCAAAGAGUCCUCUCUGGAAGGGAGGAGGGAAACCUCCUCUCAAGGCUGGAGGGG
ensembl:lncRNA